rnacentral:misc_RNA from 1 species
GAUGAAGAACGUAGCGAAAUGCGAUAAGUAAUGUGAAUUGCAGAAUUCAGUGAAUCAUCGAGUCUUUGAACGCACAUUGCGCCCCCUGGUAUUCCGGGGGGCAUGCCUGUCCGAGCGUCAUUGCCGCCCUCAAGCACGGCUUGUGUGUUGGGCCCCCGCCCCCCGGCUUCGGGGGGCGGGCCCGAAAGGCAGCGGCGGCACCGCGUCCGGUCCUCGAGCGUAUGGGGCUUCGUCACCCGCUCUGUAGGCCAGGCCGGCGCCCGCCGGCGACCCCAAUCAAUCUUUCCAGGUUGACCUCGGAUCAGGUAGGGAUACCCGCUGAACUUAAGCAUAUCAAUAAGCGGAGGA